rnacentral:rRNA from 1 species
ACGCUCGACACCUAGGGAGGCAGCAGUGGGGAAUAUUGCACAAUGGGGGGAACCCUGAUGCAGCGACGCCGCGUGAGUGAAGAAGUACUUCGGUAUGUAAAGCUCUAUCAGCAGGGAANAAAAUGACGGUACCUGACUAAGAAGCCCCGGCUAACUACGUGCCACAGCCGCGGUAAUCUGAGCGGGCUGGCAAGGC